AACGAACGCUGGCGGCAUGCCUAACACAUGCAAGUCGAACGAGACCUUCGGGUCUAGUGGCGCACGGGUGCGUAACGCGUGGGAACCUGCCCUUAGGUUCGGAAUAACUCCCCGAAAGGGGUGCUAAUACCGGAUAAUGUCUUCGGACCAAAGAUUUAUCGCCUUUGGAUGGGCCCGCGUUGGUUUAGCUAGUUGGUAGGGUAAAAGCCUACCAAGGCGACGAUCCAUAGCUGGUCUGAGAGGAUGGUCAGCCACACUGGGACUGAGACACGGCCCAGACUCCUACGGGAGGCAGCAGUGGGGAAUAUUGGACAAUGGGCGAGAGCCUGAACCAGCAAUGCCGCGUGAGUGAUGAAGGCCUUAGGGUUGUAAAGCUCUUUUACCCGGGAUGAUAAUGACAGUACCGGGAGAAUAAGCUCCGGCUAACUCCGUG
rnacentral:rRNA from 1 species